rnacentral:rRNA from 1 species
UACGAAGGGAGCUAGCGUUGUUCGGAAUCACUGGGCGUAAAGCGCACGUAGGCGGAUUUGCCAGUCAGGGGUGAAAUCCCGGGGCUCAACCUCGGAACUGCCUUUGAUACAGCAAGUCUUGAGUUCGAGAGAGGUGAGUGGAAUUCCUAGUGUAGAGGUGAAAUUCGUAGAUAUUAGGAAGAACACCGGUGGCGAAGGCGGCCCACUGGCUCGACACUGACGCUGAGGUGCGAAAGCGUGGGGAGCAAACGGG